GCUCCUGUGACGCAGUGGUUAGCGUGCCAGUCUUAUACAGUUAGGCAACUAAUUCGUAUGGUUAGAUAUCUGGACGUCGCGAGUUCAAUCCUCGCCAGGAACA
rfam:Pseudomassariella vexata strain CBS 129021 BCR38scaffold_1, whole genome shotgun sequence.